GCUGGGCAUGGUGGCGCAUGCCUGUAAUCCCAGCUACUCAGGAGGCUGAGGCAGGAGAAUUGCCUGAACCCAGGAGAUUGAGGUUGCAGUGAGCCAAGAUCGCAUCAUUGCACUCCAGCCUGGGUAACAAGAGCAAAACUCUGUCUCAA
ensembl:misc_RNA Metazoa_SRP Metazoan signal recognition particle RNA